rnacentral:rRNA from 1 species
UUCCUACGGGGGGCUGCAGUGGGGAAUCUUGCGCAAUGGGCGAAAGCCUGACGCAGCAACGCCGCGUGAGCGAAGAAGGCCUUCGGGUUGUAAAGCUCUGUCAGGGGGAAAGAAGGCACCUGGGUUAAUAGCCCAAGGGCUGACGGUACCCCCAAAGGAAGCCACGGCUAACUACGUGCCAGCAGCCGCGGUAAUACGUAGGUGGCAAGCGUUGUCCGGAAUCAUUGGGCGUAAAGAGCGCGUAGGUGGCUUGUCAGGUCUGAUUUGAAAUUUCGGGGCUCAACUCCGAACCUGCAUCGGAAACCGGCUUGCUAGAGUCUGGGAGAGGAGAGUGGAAUUCCUGGUGUAGCGGUGAAAUGCGUAGAUAUCAGGAGGAACACCGGUAGCGAAGGCGGCUCUCUGGAACAGUACUGACGCUGAGGCGCGAAAGCUAGGGGAGCGAACAGGAUUAGAUACCCCAGUAGUC